CCUACGGGUGGCAGCAGUCGAGAAUCAUUCACAAUGGGGGAAACCCUGAUGGUGCGACGCCGCGUGGGGGAAUGAAGGUCUUCGGAUUGUAAACCCCUGUCAUGUGGGAGCAAAUUAAAAAGAUAGUACCACAAGAGGAAGAGACGGCUAACUCUGUGCCAGCAGCCGCGGUAAUACAGAGGUCUCAAGCGUUGUUCGGAAUCACUGGGAGUAAAGCGUGCGUAGGCUGUUUCGUAAGUCGUGUGUGAAAGGCGCGGGCUCAACCCGCGGACGGCACAUGAUACUGCGAAACUAGAGUAAGGGAGGGGGAACCGGAAUUCUCGGUGUAGCAGUGAAAUGCGUAGAUAUCGAGAGGAACACUCGUGGCGAAGGCGGUUUCCUGGACAUUAACUGACGCUGAGGCACGAAGGCCAGGGGAGCGAAAGGGAUUAGAUACCCUUGUAGUC
rnacentral:rRNA from 1 species